rnacentral:rRNA from 1 species
AGGGGUAACAUAGAAAAGCUUGCUUUUUUGAUGACGACCGGCGCACGGGUGCGUAACGCGUAUGCAAUCUACCUUUUGCUACUGGAUAGCCCAGAGAAAUUUGGAUUAACACAGUAUAGUAUCAUAUUACUGCAUGGUAUUUAUGAUUAAAGGCUACGGCAGAAGAUGAGCAUGCGUCCUAUUAGCUAGUUGGUGUGGUAACGGCAUACCAAGGCAACGAUAGGUAGGGGCCCUGAGAGGGGGAUCCCCCACACUGGUACUGAGACACGGACCAGACUCCUACGGGAGGCAGCAGUGAGGAAUAUUGGACAAUGGAGGCAACUCUGAUCCAGCCAUGCCGCGUGCAGGAUGACUGCCCUAUGGGUUGUAAACUGCUUUUAUACAGGAAGAAACCGCUCUACGUGUAGAGCUCUGACGGUACUGUA